AGUACAGAUUGUAUUUAAUAUGAAGAUAUUUCAUUGCAAAAUCGGAUCAGACUAAGGACAGCAAUUGAUAUUUCAACUGACAAGAUUAUAGAAUAUUGAGAUAUAGGCCUAUUCACAUCUUGAAGAACUUAAAACCAGAAAAAGAUGGUACACAAUUUUGAUAUUUCAACUGACAAGAUAGAAUAUUAAGAUAAAUGUGCGGAAUGCCAUGGAUGUUUGUCAAUUGAAGAUAUAGCUGAAAAAGCAACUUUAGUAUUGUAUGACGAUAUGACAUUGCGGCGUCGGAUCAGCAGACAAGGAACAGCAUACAUUUGACAUUUCAACUGACAAGAUUAUUGAAUAUUGGGGUAAGUCGGGUUUAAAAGCAUUUACGAACUGUAUAUCUGGUGUGCUUUAGCUAUAUUUACAGACCGGAAGACUUCCAAACCAGAAAAAGAACAUUGUAGACAAUUGCAGCCAGACAGCUACAAGUACAAGGAGUGAGUUAAGAUAUAUAUUCACAUUUUGAAAGAACUCAAAACCAGACAAAGGAGAUGGCACACAAGUAUUUAAACUGACAAGAUGAUACAAUAUUCAGAAAUGUGCAGAAUGUCCUGGAUGUCGGUCAGUCGAGGAUAUAGCUGCAAAAACAAAC
rnacentral:lncRNA from 1 species